CUCUCUGACUGUCCGUAAAUCUGUUUUGUCGCUGAAGCUCAAAGUACACUUUCCAGACAUUUUAAACAUGAUCUCUGCCACUGAAUAGCUGUAACCGCGCAAAGUCGUAGUCCGUAAAACAGAGAUGUUUUACGUGGGAGUGGACGUGGGUACAUCCAGCGUGAGGGCAGCGCUUGUGACAAGAGAGGGUUUCCUCAAGAGCACAGCGGAAGAGCCCAUCAGCAUCUGGGAACCUCAGUCCGACCACUAUGUCCAGUCCUCCACUGAAAUCUGGGAAAAAUGCUGCAUUGUAAUUCAGAGGGUUGUCACUGGUGUCGAGAGGAGCCAGGUACGAGGCAUAGGAUUUGAUGCUACCUGCUCUCUUGUGGUUCUGGACCAGUGCUUUCAACCUGUUUCUGUCUGCCACAGUGGGGACAAAGAUAGGAAUGUUGUAAUGUGGAUGGACCACCGAGCAGCAGAACAGGCAGUUCGUAUUACAAACACUGGUCACCAGGUUCUGAGUCGGGUGGGAGGGGUCAUGUCUCCAGAGAUGCAGCCUCCUAAACUCCUAUGGCUCAAAGAGAAUCUGAAAGAAAGUUGCUGGAACAAAGCAGCACAUUUCUUUGACCUUCCAGACUUCCUGUCUUGGAAAGCAACAGGCUGGUUGACUAGAUCCUUAUGCACUUUGGUGUGUAAAUGGACAUAUUGUCCCCUAGAAGGAUGGGAUGACAGUUUUUGGACUACUAUUGAACUUGGUGACCUCUUGGAAAGCAACUACUCUAAAAUUGGUGAAGUUAUUAUUACUGAUGUUAAUGGUAUAGUUUUACAGUUCAAACUAUUGUUCCAAUUGAAUCUUGAUGUACUCUCCCCAGGUAAUGUAACCUGCCCCCCUGGUAGUCCACUGGGGCAGGGCCUGACAGCAGAGGCUGCUGCUGAUUUGGGUUUGGAUCCAGGAACUGCAGUCGGUGCUUCUCUUAUUGAUGCCCACGCUGGAGGAUUAGGUGUUAUAGGUGCAGAUGUCAGAGGCUUUAAUUUACCAUGUGAGCACCAGCCUAUCACCUCACGAAUGGCUAUGAUCUGUGGAACAUCUACUUGUCACAUGGCAAUUAGCCAACAACCUCUUUUUGUGCCUGGUGUUUGGGGGCCUUGUUUGUCUGCAAUGGUACCUGGUUUUUGGUUAAAUGAAGGAGGACAGAGUGCAACAGGAAGACUGAUCGACCACAUGGUGAAAGGCCAUGCUGCUUACACCCAGCUUCAAGAACUAGCAAAACAAAAGUGUCCUUAUGCAGGGGAAAACAUCUACUCUUACUUAAACAACCAUUUGAACACUAUGAAUGAUCCCACCUCUCCAGUUGACCUGCUCACUUCCUCUUUACAUGUGUGGCCUGACUUUCACGGAAACAGGUCACCAUUGGCAGACCCAACAUUAAAGGGAAUGGUUGUUGGACUUACAUGUUCCCAAACUCUUGAAGAUUUGGCAUUACUUUAUCUGGCAACAGUACAAGCUCUAGCUCUUGGUACAUUACAUAUUCUAGAGGCCAUGAAAGAGGUUGGUCAUGACAUCAGGACAAUUUUCUUUUGUGGGGGUCUCAGUAAAAAUCCACUUUAUGUUAAGGUCCAUGCAAAUGCGACAGGACUGCCUGUAGUGUUGCCAGACCAGAUGGAGGCAGUGUUGGUGGGAGCAGCAGUUCUCGGUGCCUGUGCUUCUCAAGACUAUAGAUCAAUACAGGAGGCCAUGGCAAAAAUGGCAAAAGUGGGUAAAGUUGUCUGGCCAGAUGAUGAAGUGAAAUGCUUCUAUAAGAGGAAGAAAAGCGUGUUUUUCCGCCUUAUCGACCACCAGAGGGAGUACCAGGCCCUCAUGAAUCCAAGAUGACAGUGACAUGAUGUACAAUUUGGAGAUGGAUAAUUUGCUCACUGGAAACAUACCUGAAAAACCAUAGUGAAUUACUUUUAGUGGUUUACUUUUUCCACUUUGCUGUUUCAAAAGGGAAAUCUUAUUUUUGAUAAUCUAGUGGGUGAGCAUAUUUUAUGAUCACAAUUGAUUGAUUAAUUAAUGACAAUUGAUUGAUUAAUUGAUUACACAAUUUGCUUUUUACUUUUUAUUUGAAUUAUUAAAAUCAUUGGAUUUGAUACAAUAUUGAAAAUAUUAAAUCCUCCUGUGAUCUGAUGAUACAAAAUGCAUUCCAGUAAAUGGUUAAUUCUGAAUCUUGUGUGGUACAUGAUCUUCUUUUCCUGUAUGCAUGUCGUAUAGGUUAACAGGAGCUCUUCAGAUCAAAGAUGACAUGCUCCUUGCUGAUAUCCUUAACCUAAAGAGGAGGACACCAAAUCCUCCACAGCUGAGCCAUAGACCUGUGGCUGUCCAAGCGCCUCGGCGUGUGCUCCUGUGAGGAGGCUUCGUGGGGGAGCAUACGUCCCCUGGUCCGGCUGGUGGAGUUCUCAGGUCAUGCCGCUCC